GGGGAACAAAUAUGUUUACUUGUGUAACUUUUGUAGCAUGAACAACGAUAAACAGCCUGCACGGACUUCUGUAAAUUAACAGCUUCCGCAUGAAACAUCUUGAUGUUCACCUCGUCUAAUCUUUUAUUCAAUGCAGAUAUAAAAAUCGACUUUCCAAUACUGGUAAAUUGACUCAAAAUGUCAGUCCAUUUUUUCUUUUCUUUG
rnacentral:lncRNA from 1 species